AACGCACCUUGCGCUCCUUGGUAUUCCGAGGAGCAUGCCUGUUUGAGUGUCUUGAAGUCAUCAACCCCCUCCGUUUCGUGCGGUUCGGGUUGGAGCUGGGGGCUCUGCCGCCGUCGAGGCGGCUCCCCUCAAAUGCAUCGGUUGGGCCUGUGGGUCGAACUCGACUGGGCGUUGUACCAUCCUCGCUCGACAGAGACGUUCCCCUCUGGCGCCCUUCCCCGACCUGCCUUUCAGAGCGGCGGUCAAGCUUUUUGAAAUCUGACCUCAAAUCAGGUAGGACUACCCGCUGAACUUAA
rnacentral:misc_RNA from 1 species